rnacentral:rRNA from 1 species
CAGUCGCCACGGUAAUACGUAGGUGGCAAGCGUUGUCCGGAAUUAUUGGGCGUAAAGCGCGCGCAGGCGGUUUAAUAAGUCUGAUGUGAAGCCCACGGCUCAACCGUGGAGGGUCAUUGGAAACUGUUAAACUUGAGUGCAGGAGAGAAAAGUGGAAUUCCUAGUGUAGCGGUGAAAUGCGUAGAGAUUAGGAGGAACACCAGUGGCGAAGGCGGCUUUUUGGCCUGUAACUGACACUGAGGCGCGAAAGCGUGGGGAGCAAACAGGAUUAGAUACCCCUGUAGUCCCUGUCUCUUAUACA